GAGAUGGUUUUAGGUUCAAUUUGAGAAACAAAAGCAGUAAGUUCUAAAGUGUUUUUGAGGGAGUUUCGGGUACUUACCUUUUCUUCAACAUCGCCGAUUACCUGUUCGAGAGGAUGAUCCUUGAUCGUUCUUCACUCGUUAGGCGUACUUAUUCCUUUUUCUAAUUGUGGCGCUUCUACCGUUGGUUGUUCCCCAAUUUCAUUUUUGUUUU
rnacentral:lncRNA from 1 species